UUUUUCACUGACCUCAGCUCAGGUGA
rnacentral:rRNA from 1 species